AACAGCUAGUUGUCCUGAGGAGAGGUUUGGAACAGCUAGUUGUCCUGAGGAGAGGUUUGGAACAGCUAGUUGUCCUGAGGAGAGGUUUGGAACAGCUAGUUGUCCUGAGGAGAGGUUUGGAACAGCUAGUUGUCCUGAGGAGAGGUUGGGAACAGCUAGUUGUCCUGAGGAGAGGUUUGGAACAGCUAGUUGUCCUGAGGAGAGGUUUGGAACAGCUAGUUGUCCUGAGGAGAGGUUGGGAACAGCUAGUUGUCCUGAGGAGAGGUUUGGAACAGCUAGUUGUCCUGAGGAGAGGUUUGGAACAGCUAGUUGUCCUGAGGAGAGGUUUGGAACAGCUAGUUGUCCUGAGGAGAGGUUGGGAACAGCUAGUUGUCCUGAGGAGAGGUUUGGAACAGCUAGUUGUCCUGAGGAGAGGUUUGGAACAGCUAGUUGUCCUGAGGAGAGAUUGGGAACAGCUAGUUGUCCUGAGGAGAGGUUUGGAACAGCUAGUUGUCCUGAG